rnacentral:rRNA from 1 species
UUAAAGAUUUAUCGGUGAUGGAUGGGGAUGCGUCUGAUUAGCUUGUUGGCGGGGUAACGGCCCACCAAGGCGACGAUCAGUAGGGGUUCUGAGAGGAAGGUCCCCCACAUUGGAACUGAGACACGGUCCAAACUCCUACGGGAGGCAGCAGUGAGGAAUAUUGGUCAAUGGGCGAGAGCCUGAACCAGCCAAGUAGCGUGCAGGAAGACGGCCCUAUGGGUUGUAAACUGCUUUUAUAGGGGAAUAAAGUGAGCCACGUGUGGUUUUUUGCAUGUACCCUAUGAAUAAGGACCGGCUAAUUCCGUGCCAGCAGCCGCGGUAAUACGGAAGGUCCGGGCGUUAUCCGGAUUUAUUGGGUUUAAAGGGAGCGUAGGCCGGAGAUUAAGCGUGUUGUGAAAUGUAGAUGCUCAACAUCUGAACUGCAGCGCGAACUGGUUUCCUUGAGUACGCAUAAAGUGGGCGGAAUUCGUGGUGUAGCGGUGAAAUGCUUAGAUAUCACGAAGAACUCCGAUUGCGAAGGCAGCUCACUGGGGCGCAACUGACGCUGAAGCUCGAAAGCGCGGGUAUCGAACAGGAUUAGAUACCCUGGUAGUCCGCGCGGUAAACGAUGGAUGCCCGCUGUUGGGCCAACUGGUUCAGCGGCCAAGCGAAAGCAUUAAGCAUCCCACCUGGGGAGUAC